AUUGAACGCUUGCGGCAGGCCUAACACAUGCAAGUCGAACGAGUGGCGGACGGGUGAGUCAUGUCUGGGAAACUGCCUGAUGGAGGGGGGUAACUACUGGAAACGGUAGCUAAUACCGCAUACCAUCAGAUGUGCCCCGAUGGGAUUAGCUAGUUGGGGGGGUAACGGCUCACAAAGGCGACGAUCCCUAGCUGGUCUGAGAGGAUGACCAGCAACAAUGGAACUGAGACAGGGUCCAGACGCCUACGGGAGGCAGCAGUGGGGAAUAUUGAACAAUGGGCGCAAGCCUGAUGCAGCCAUGCCGCGUGUAUGAAGAAGGCCUUAGGGUUGUAAAGUACUUUCAGCGGGGAGGCGUUACCCGCAGAAGAAGCACCGGCUAACUCCGUGCCAGCAGCCGCGGUAAUUC
rnacentral:rRNA from 1 species